UACGUAGGGGGCGAGCGUUGUCCGGAUUUAUUGGGCGUAAAGAGCUCGUAGGCGGCUUGGCAAGUCGGGUGUGAAACCUCCAGGCUCAACCUGGAGACGCCACUCGAUACUGCCAUGGCUAGAGUCCGGUAGGGGACCACGGAAUUCCUGGUGUAGCGGUGAAAUGCGCAGAUAUCAGGAGGAACACCGGUGGCGAAGGCGGUUCUCUGGGCAUGUCCUGACGCUGAGGAGCGAAAGUGUGGGGAGCGAACAGG
rnacentral:rRNA from 1 species